UACAGAGGGUGCGAGCGUUAAUCGGAAUUACUGGGCGUAAAGGGCGCGUAGGCGGCCAACUAAGUCAGACGUGAAAUCCCUCGGCUCAACCGGGGAACUGCGUCUGAUACUGGAUAGCUUGAAUUCGGGAGAGGGAUGCGGAAUUCCAGGUGUAGCGGUGAAAUGCGUAGAUAUCUGGAGGAACACCGGUGGCGAAGGCAGGUCUCUGGGCCGAUACUGACGCUGAGAAGCGAAAGCAUGGGGAGCGAACAGG
rnacentral:rRNA from 1 species